AUGGACUUUGUCGAAGGUUUACCAUCAUCCAAAGGGUACGAAGUGAUUAUGGUGGUAGUGGACCGCUUCACUAAGUAUGCUCACUUUGUUCCACUCCGCCAUCCCUUCACUGCAGCUACUGUGGCAAGAGCAUUCUGGGACAACAUCAUCAAGUUACAUGGGGUGCCACACUCGAUUGUCUCUGAUCGUGACUGUAUUUUUACCAGUGCAAUGUGGCGUGCUCUGCUAGAGGCCGCCGGGACCAAACUCAGCUACUCAACCGCCUAUCACUCGCACACCGACGACCAAAGUGAGCGUGUCAACCAGUGCCUCGAAAUGUACCUCCGUUGUGUUGUGCAUGAUACACCCAAGCAAUGGCGCAAAUGGCUCCCCAUGGCUGAAUUCUGGUAUAACACUACCCAUCACUCCUCACUCAAUACAUCUCCUUUCAAGGCUCUGUAUGGACAAGAACCUAAUUUGGGAGGCUUGCCUACAAUCGCAACACACCUUCCUAAAAAUGCUGAUGCUGAUUUGGAUUGGGCCAAACACAAUGACAGACUACGCACACAACUAACUCGUGCUCAGAAUAGGUGCAAACAAAAGGUAGACAAGCAUAGGACUGAGCGAGCAUUCGAUGUGGGAGCUCAGGUACUACUCAAGCUUCAACCUUACGCUCAAUCCACAGUGGCCAAUCAUCCAUGUCCCAAGCUGGCAUACAAAUUCUUUGGACCAUUCACAGUGGAGCAACGCAUCGGCGCCAUGGCAUACAAGUUGGCAUUACCUCCGGAUAGCAGAAUACACAACGUGUUUCAUGUCUCCCAGUUGAAGCCAUUUACACCGGAUUACACACCGGUCUUCUCAGAGCUGCCCUGCACACCAGAUCUCACGGCUGCCCCGCUCCAACCGGAAGUCAUUUUGGAUCGCCGUAUGGUCAAGAAAGGUAAUUCUUACAUUGUGCAGGUCCGGGUUCUAUGGUCUUCACUCUCACCAGACUCGGCUACAUGGGAGGAUUACACGGUGCUCCGUCAGCGCUACCCUGGUGCACCGUGCUGGACCGAUGACGCUCUCGCUCAAGAGGGGGAAAUUGUCACGCCUGCUCCUGUGUAA
rnacentral:rRNA from 1 species